AGAGUUUGAUCCUGGCUCAGAUUGAACGCUGGCGGCAGGCCUAACACAUGCAAGUCGAGCGGCAGCACAGAGAAACUUGUUUCUCGGGUGGCGAGCGGCGGACGGGUGAGUAAUGCCUGGGAAAUUGCCCUGAUGUGGGGGAUAACCAUUGGAAACGAUGGCUAAUACCGCAUGAUAGCUUCGGCUCAAAGAGGGGGACCUUCGGGCCUCUCGCGUCAGGAUAUGCCCAGGUGGGAUUAGCUAGUUGGUGAGGUAAUGGCUCACCAAGGCGACGAUCCCUAGCUGGUCUGAGAGGAUGAUCAGCCACACUGGAACUGAGACACGGUCCAGACUCCUACGGGAGGCAGCAGUGGGGAAUAUUGCACAAUGGGCGCAAGCCUGAUGCAGCCAUGCCGCGUGUGUGAAGAAGGCCUUCGGGUUGUAAAGCACUUUCAGUCGUGAGGAAGGUGGUGUUGUUAAUAGCAGCAUCAUUUGACGUUAGCGACAGAAGAAGCACCGGCUAACUCCGUGCCAGCAGCCGCGGUAAUAC
rnacentral:rRNA from 1 species